AGUGAACGCUGGCGGUAGGCCUAACACAUGCAAGUCGAACGGCAGCACAGUAAGAGCUUGCUCUUACGGGUGGCGAGUGGCGGACGGGUGAGGAAUACAUCGGAAUCUACUUUUUCGUGGGGGAUAACGUAGGGAAACUUACGCUAAUACCGCAUACGACCUACGGGUGAAAGCAGGGGAUCUUCGGACCUUGCGCGAUUGAAUGAGCCGGUGUCGGAUUAGCUAGUUGGCGGGGUAAAGGCCCACCAAGGCGACGAUCCGUAGCUGGUCUGAGAGGAUGAUCAGCCACACUGGAACUGAGACACGGUCCAGACUCCUACGGGAGGCAGCAGUGGGGAAUAUUGGAAAAUGGGCGCAAGCCUGAUCCAGCCAUACCGCGUGGGUGAAGAAGGCCUUCGGGUUGUAAAGCCCUUUUGUUGGGAGAGAAAAGCAGCAGGUUAAUACCCCGCUGUUCUGACGGUACCCAAAGAAUAAGCACCGGCUAACUUCGU
rnacentral:rRNA from 1 species